rnacentral:rRNA from 1 species
AUUGAACGCUGGCGGCAUGCUUUACACAUGCAAGUCGAACGGCAGCGCGGGCUUCGGCCUGGCGGCGAGUGGCGAACGGGUGAGUAAUGCAUCGGAACGUGCCCAGUAGUGGGGGAUAGCCCGGCGAAAGCCGGAUUAAUACCGCAUACGACCUGAGGGUGAAAGCGGGGGGCCGAAAGGCCUCGCGCUAUUGGAGCGGCCGAUGUCGGAUUAGCUAGUUGGUGGGGUAAAGGCUUACCAAGGCGACGAUCCGUAGCUGGUCUGAGAGGACGACCAGCCACACUGGGACUGAGACACGGCCCAGACUCCUACGGGAGGCAGCAGUGGGGAAUUUUGGACAAUGGGGGCAAACCUGAUCCAGCCAUGCCGCGUGCGGGAAGAAGGCCUUCGGGUUGUAAACCGCUUUUGUUCGGGAAGAAAUCCUCUGGGCUAAUACCCCGGGGGGAUGACGGUACCGGAAGAAUAAGCACCGGCUAACUACGUG